ensembl:lincRNA
AUGGUUCUGGAAGUUACGGGUUACCAGGACAACGCAUCCCCUCAGCCUGGCCACGCCCCCCGGGCUCCCGCUCACUGGUUGCAAAACUCAGCUUUGCCCCUGCCCGGAGUUUCCCUUCCCGGGGCCCGCUGGGGAAGCAUCCGCGGCUUGUGGUGGCUGUGGUUUGGUGCCCAGGACUCACACGUAAAAGGAGCUCAUUCGGAGGCAGGGGCACGCGCUUGUCCCCAGAACUCAAACCCCAGAGUCCCUCCGGCAGAUGAGAGUGGAGUCUGUAAAUCACCCUCCAUGCAAUGGUUCAUCAUAAAGGAUAUGGAGCAAAAUUAGAGGAGGCACGAGAAGGAAAGCCGGUGAUGAACAAGGCUAUUGCUUAAAGACUGAAUGACAUGGACCCCAGAGUUUAUGUGAGUUACUCUAAAAUAUGGUAAAAUCAGGGCUUCACUCCCAACUGAGAGCCUUGCAGAGUGAAGAGUUUCUCUAGAGACCAUCUGAUAAAUGCGGGCUCCCACACACAGAGAUGUGAGCUAGAGCCGUGCAGCAAAUAAUAUAUAUUAUUUUCUUCUCCGCUUAAGGUCCAAAUUGUCUGGUGUAACAUCUUUGGUGACCAUUCCAUUUGGGAAUCCUAGCUUACUGGAUGGAGCUGUGUGCAUUGUGAGGUUGGCCCUUGUUGUGCCUGAGCUUAGAAGAAGGAAUAGCACGGGUAAUAAUCAUUAUGAUAAGCACUUCUUGAGCACUCACUACAUGUCAGGCACUGUUCUGAGCAUAUUGCAUGCACGGGUUCUUUUAAUGUGCAUAACAACCCCAAAGGAUUAGUAGGUGCCAUUUACAUCCCCAUUUUACAGAUAAGAAAACCAGGGCACAGGGUCUCAGAGUUAGCAGGUGGCAUUGCCGAGAUUGGAAAUCAGACAGUUUGGUUCCAGAACUCCUGCCCUUUAGCACUGUGGAGGUGACUUGAGAGAUGCCCUAAGUUCCAGCCCAACCACAGAUACCACCCCCAUUGGCCAUAGUACAUGACUAAAUGUGACAAUUACUUAUUCAGCAUUUAUUAAAAGCACAGUAUUGUCCUAAGCACUUUACAUGUAGUAUCCCAGUGCAUCUCCUUAUCAACUCUUUUAGAUAGGUACUGUUAUUCUUCAUCUUUUACAGAGGAAGAAAUUGAGGCUCAAAUCAAUAAGUAACUGGGUGAGAGUCUCCCACUUAAAAAAUUGGUAAAGUUGAAAUCCAAAUCUAAGCAUCCAACCCCAGAGCCCAAGCUCUCAACUAACCCUGGUCACUUUUUUGAGUAAGGACUUUGUAUCUCUCAAAUGCCCCCUAUUAAAAUGAACCUCAGCCAUGUGGGAGCAGUGUGAUUUUUUUUUCCUGCCCCUAAAGCAUGUUGAAGAUUUGGGGACAAGUUUUAUUGAAACUCCCCAAGGCACUAGCUUUCACCCUUGGUGGUAAUUUUCUAGUGACUGCAGAUGCCUCAUUAAACGAGUUCAGGCACACUGAUCUCCUUAAUUCAGUUUCUUCCAACCCCCAUCUUCAUUCUGCCCUUGUCUUUGAACUCCUCAUGCUUUGUCUCAGUGAUCUCCUCCACUACCAGCUGUUAACAUCUUCUGUAUUGGGAUGAAUCCCUGACACACAACUUCAGCCCAGACCUGGCUCCAAAUCUCCAUGUCCUUCAUUCCACCUGCUCCAAGACCUAGGCACCUGGAUUUUCCCUAGUGUAGCUGAGGCUGGCGUGCCCCACCCAGAUCCCACAGGGUCUUUUUUCUACCCCCAUUUCCAAGCCACUGCCUGCAUUGCUGCAGGUAAAGGCUCACAUCUGCAGCCUUCUCCUGAGGCUUGCCCUUGAGCAAUGGGAGCAGCCUCACCCAGACUCGUACUCCCCACCUUCACCUGACCUCAGAUACUGAUAGCGUCUGUUCCAAGAAUCUAGUGCAACUUCCUUAGACUAGCAAUCAAUACCUCCUGCACCUGGCGACAACCUCGCUGUCAAAUCUUCACUCCUGCUCAGCUGCAGAGCAGCUCCUCAGCCCUUAAGAGUUCCUCUGCCUUCUGGCCUUCUUGCCUUUGCUCACUCUGCUUCUGUUUGGAAUGUCAUCUGCCCUGCUUCCAACUGUCAAAAUUCUACACAUCCUCUGAAGGCUAGUGACACUGCACUUCUGCCCACGAGGCAUUCCCAAAUUGUGCUUGCCCUUGCAACGUGGGUUAUUGCUAGUUAUGCAUGGGUCUCUAGUCAGCAUGGUUUGUAUUAUAAAAGGUCAAGAAUGAAUCUGAUUCUCUCAGCUAUCUCUAGUUAAGGGUUCAAAUGUGUACCCACCAAAGGGUACUGAAGUCUUAACCCUCGGUACCUGUGAGUAUGACUUUAUUCAGAAAUAGGGUCAUUGCAGAUGUAAUCAAGUUAAAAUGAGGUCAUUAGGGUGAGCCCUAAUCCAAGAGAAGAGAGACAGACACAGACUGGCACAGAAGGAAGAUGAUGUGAAGACACACAGGGAGAACACAGAAGCAGAGAUUGCAGUGACGAUGCUCGCAUGAGCCAAGGAACUCCAGAUCUGCUGGCAAAACCAGAAGCUCAGAAAAAGGCAUGGAGCAGAUCUCCCCUAGAGCCUUCAGAAAGAGCACAGCCCUGCUGACACCCUGAUUCCAGACUUCCAGCCUCCAGGAAGGAACUGCGAGAGAAUAAAUGUCUGUUCUAAGCCACCCAGUUUGUGGUCCUUUGUCACAGCAGCCCUAGGACACUAAUAUAUUAAGUAUCUCACACAGUGCCUUCCACAGAGUAAGUAAUGGCAAAGGCUUGUUGAAUUCACGUGGGGGUGGAAUAUUUCUCUCACUAGCUUUUUUUUAAACAAGCUAUUUACUGUUUAUUGUAACAUGCCUUGCACUAUGUUGAUAGAAUCUCUCAGAUUUCCUAAACAUUUUGUUGUUAUGCCAUACCUAUACACUACCCAGCCCCCACUUGUACAUUCCAUAUGUACUCUUUUCUCUUUUUUCUUCCUUCCUUUCUUUCUUCUUUCUUUUAAUUUUUUUUUUUCUUUUUUGGUCUCCCUAUGUUGCCCAGGCUGGUCUUGAACUCCUGGGCUCAAGCAAUCCUCCUUCCCUGGCCUCCCAAAGUGCUGGGAUUACAGGCAUGAGUGGCAGUGCCCAGCCAUUCCAUAUAUAUAUGACGCAGAAGAGCGCUUACACCAACCUAAUAGUUACUUAAUGUUGUAUAACAAAUCAUGGCAAAGCUUAGUGGCUUAAAACAAGAGUCAUGGCCGGGCGCGGUGGCUCACGCCUGUAAUCCUAGCACUUUGGGAGGCCGAGACGGGUGGAUCACGAGGUCAGGAGAUCGAGACCAUCUUGGCUAACACGGUGAAACCCCGUUUCUACUAAAAUUACAAAAAAUUAGCCGGGCGUGUUGGCGGGCGCCUGUAGUCCCAGCUACUUGGGAGGCUGAGGCAGGAGAAUGGCGUGAACCCGGGAGGCGGAGCUUGCAGUGAGCCGAGAUCGCGCCACUGCACUCCAACCUGGGAGACACAGCGAGACUCCG